rnacentral:rRNA from 1 species
GUGUCAGCAGCCGCGGUAAUACGGAGGGGGCAAGCGUUAUUCGGAAUUAUUGGGCGUAAAGGGCGCGUAGGCGGCUUGGUAAGUCAAAGGUGAAAUCCCUCGGCUCAACUGAGGAAUUGCCUUUGAAACUGCCUGGCUUGAGGCCGGGAGGGGGUAGCGGAAUUCCCAGUGUAGCGGUGAAAUGCGUAGAUACUGGGAGGAACACCAGUGGCGAAGGCGGCUACCUGGACCGGAACUGACGCUGAUGCGCGAAAGCGUGGGGAGCAAACAGGAUUAGAAACCCCAGUAGUCC